UUAAUAAAGGAUAAACAUGGGCA
rnacentral:snRNA from 1 species